GCAGUCGAACGAGAAUCUACUGAAAGAGUUUUCGGACAAUGGAAGUAGAGGAAAGUGGCGGACGGGUGAGUAACGCGUGAGGAACCUGCCUUGAAGAGGGGGACAACAGUUGGAAACGACUGCUAAUACCGCAUGAAGCAUAGGGGUCGCAUGAUCCUUAUGCCAAAGAUUUAUCGCUUCAAGAUGGCCUCGCGUCUGAUUAGCUAGUUGGCGGGGUAACGGCCCACCAAGGCGACGAUCAGUAGCCGGACUGAGAGGUUGAACGGCCACAUUGGGACUGAGAUACGGCCCAGACUCCUACGGGAGGCAGCAGUGGGGAAUAUUGGGCAAUGGGCGCAAGCCUGACCCAGCAACGCCGCGUGAAGGAAGAAGGCUUUCGGGUUGUAAACUUCUUUUAAGAGGGAAGAGCAGAAGACGGUACCUCUAGAAUAAGCCACGGCUAACUACGUGCCAGCAGCCGCGGUAAUACGUAGGUGGCAAGCGUUGUCCGGAUUUACUGGGUGUAAAGGGCGUGCAGCCGGGUCUGCAAGUCAGAUGUGAAAUCCAUGGGCUCAACCCAUGAACUGCAUUUGAAACUGUAGAUCUUGAGUGUCGGAGGGGCAAUCGGAAUUCCUAGUGUAGCGGUGAAAUGCGUAGAUAU
rnacentral:rRNA from 1 species